GCGUCGGUAGUCCAGUGGUUAGGAUACUGCCUUCCCAGCACCAAGCCAGCGUGUUGAAGGCAGGGGUCGUGGGUUCAAUCCCCACUCGACGCA